GCUGGGUGCAUUGGCAUGUGCCUGUAGUCCCAGCUAUUUGGGAGGCUGAGGCAGGAGGAUUGCUUGAUCCCAGGAGUUGGAGAUCAGCCGAGGCAACAUAGGGAGACUCCUAUCUCAA
rnacentral:sRNA from 1 species